rnacentral:rRNA from 1 species
ACUCAAAGGAAUUGACGGGGGCCCGCACAAGCGGUGGAGCAUGUGGUUCAAUUCGACGCAACGCGAAGAACCUUACCUGGGCUCGAAAUGUAGUGGACCGGGGUGGAAACAUCCCUUUCUCGCAAGAGACUGCUAUAUAGGUGCUGCAUGGCUGUCGUCAGCUCGUGUCGUGAGAUGUUGGGUUAAGUCCCGCAACGAGCGCAACCCUUAUUGCCAGUUGCUAACAGGUCAAGCUGAGCACUCUGGCGAAACCGCCCCGGAUAACGGGGAGGAAGGUGGGGAUGACGUCAAGUCCUCAUGGCCUUUAUGUCCAGGGCUACACACGUGCUACAAUGGAUGGUACAAACCGUCGCAAACCCGCGAGGGGGAGCUAAUCGGAAAAAGCCAUCCUCAGUUCGGAUUGGAGUCUGCAACUCGACUCCAUGAAGCUGGAAUCGCUAGUAAUCGCGGAUCAGCACGCCGCGGUGAAUACGUUCCCGGGCCUUGCACACACCGCCCGU